CUCAUGGAGAGUUCGAUCCUGGCUCAGGAUGAACAUUGGCAGCAUGCUUAACACAUGUAAGUCAAAUAGGAAACAUGAGAAAUGGUGUUCCCAGUGGUGGACGGGUGAGUAACGCGUAAGAACCUGCCCUUAGGAGGGGAACAAUAGCUAAAAACGGCUGCUAAUACCCCAUAGGCUAAGGAGCAAAAGGAGGAAUCCGCCCGAGGAGGGGCUCGCAUCUGAUUAGCUAGUUGGUAAGGCAAUAGCUUACCAAGGAGAUGAUCAGUAGCUGGUCCAAGAGGAUGAUUAGCCACACUGGGACUGAGAUACGGCCUAGACUCCUACGGGAGGCAGCAGUGGGGAAUUUUCCGUAAUGGGCGAAAGCCUGAUGGAGCAAUGCCAUGUGGAGGUAGAAGGCCCAUGGGUCGUGAACUUCUUUUCCCAAAGAAGAAGCAAUGACGGUAUCUGGGGAAUAAGCAUCGGCUAACUCUGUGCCAACAGCCACGGUAAUACAGAGGAUGCAAGUGUUAUUCAGAAUAAUUGGGCAUAAAGUGUCUGUAGGUGGAUUUUUAAGUCCGUCAUCAAAUCCCAGGGCUCAACCUUGGACAGGCGGUGGAAACUACCAAGCUGGAGUACGGUAGGGGCAGAGGGAAUUUUUGAUAGAGUGGUGAAAUGCGUAGAGACCAGAAAGAACACCAACUGCGAGACCGACACUGACACUGAGAGACGAAAGCUAGGGGAGCAAAUAGGAUUAGAUACCCCAGUAAUCCUAGCCGUAAACGAUGGAUACUAGGAGCUGUGCGUAUCGACCCGUGUAGUGUUGUAGCUAACAUAUUAAGUAUCCUGCCUGGGGAGUACGUUCGCAAGAAUAAAACUCAAAGGAAUUGAGGGGACCCGAACAAGCGGUGGAGCAUGUGGUUUAAUUUGAUGCAAAUCAAAGAACCUUACUAGGGCUUGACAUGUCGUAAAUCCUCUUGAAAGAGAGGGGUGCCUUCGAGAACGUGGACAUAGGUGGUGCAUGGCUGUCGUCAGCUCGUGUUGUAAGGUGUUGGGUUAAGUCCCCCAACGAGCGCAACCCUCGUAUUUAGUUGUCAUCGUUGAGUUUGGAACCCUGAACAGACUGCCGGUGAUAAUCCAGAGAAAGGUGAGGAUGACAUCGAGUCAUCAUGCCCCUUAUGCCCUAGGUGACACACGUGCUACAAUAGCCGGGACAAAGGGUCGCGAUCCUGCGAGGGUGAGCUAACCUCAAAAACCCAUCCUCAGUUCGGAUUACAGGCUGCAACUCGCCUACAUAAAGCCGAAAUUGCUAUUAAUCGCCAGUUAUCCAUACGGUGGUGAAUUCAUUCCCGGGCUUUAUACACACCGCCCAUCACACUAUGGGAGCUGGCCAUGCCCGAAGUCGUUACCUUAAUCGCAAGAAGGGGAAUGUCGAAGGCAGGGCUAGUGACUGGAGUAAAGUUAUAACAAUGUAGUCGUACUAGAAGGUGCAGCUGGAUCACCUCCUUU
rfam:Capsicum annuum cultivar Zunla-1 chromosome 1, whole genome shotgun sequence